GACGAACGCUGGCGGCGUGCUUAACACAUGCAAGUCGAACGGAAAGGCCCUGCUUUUGUGGGGUGCUCGAGUGGCGAACGGGUGAGUAACACGUGAGUAACCUGCCCUUGACUUUGGGAUAACUUCAGGAAACUGGGGCUAAUACCGGAUAGGAGCUCCUGCUGCAUGGUGGGGGUUGGAAAGUUUCGGCGGUUGGGGAUGGACUCGCGGCUUAUCAGCUUGUUGGUGGGGUAGUGGCUUACCAAGGCUUUGACGGGUAGCCGGCCUGAGAGGGUGACCGGCCACAUUGGGACUGAGAUACGGCCCAGACUCCUACGGGAGGCAGCAGUGGGGAAUAUUGCACAAUGGGCGGAAGCCUGAUGCAGCAACGCCGCGUGCGGGAGGACGGCCUUCGGGUUGUAAACCGCUUUCGCCUGUGACGAAGCGUGAGGGACGGGAAUGGGUAAAGAAGCACCGGCUAACUACGU
rnacentral:rRNA from 1 species